rnacentral:tRNA from 1 species
UGCCCCCACGAGGAAUUGAACCUCGAUCCUGGGCUUCGGAGGGCCAGACUUUAUCCAUUAAGCUACAGGGGC